rnacentral:rRNA from 1 species
AUUGAACGCUGGCGGCAGGCCUAACACAUGCAAGUCGAGCGGGAACUUCGGUUCUAGCGGCGGACGGGUGAGUAAUGCGUAGGAAGCUACCCGAUAGAGGGGGAUACCAGUUGGAAACGACUGUUAAUACCGCAUAAUGUCUACGGACCAAAGUGUGGGACCUUCGGGCCACAUGCUAUCGGAUGCGCCUACGUGGGAUUAGCUAGUGGGUGAGGUAAUGGCUCACCAAGGCGACGAUCCCUAGCUGGUUGGAGAGGAUGAUCAGCCACACUGGAACUGAGACACGGUCCAGACUCCUACGGGAGGCAGCAGUGGGGAAUAUUGGACAAUGGGCGAAAGCCUGAUCCAGCCAUGCCGCGUGUGUGAAGAAGGCCUUCGGGUUGUAAAGCACUUUCAGCGAGGAGGAAGGGGUUGUAGUUAAUAGCUGCAACCUUUGACGUUACUCGCAGAAGAAGCACCGGCUAACUCUGUGCCAGCAGCCGCGGUAACAC